rnacentral:tRNA from 1 species
CGGGACGUGGCGCAGUCUGGUAGCGCACCUGCUUUGGGAGCAGGGGGUCGGAGGUUCGAAUCCUCUCGUCCCGACCA